rnacentral:rRNA from 1 species
GUGAGCCCAGCUUGCUGGGUGGAUCAGUGGCGAACGGGUGAGUAACACGUGAGCAAUCUGCCCCUGACUCUGGGAUAAGCGCUGGAAACGGCGUCUAAUACUGGAUAUGAACCGUGGAGGCAUCUUCAACGGUUGGAAAGAUUUUUUGGUCAGGGAUGAGCUCGCGGCCUAUCAGCUUGUUGGUGAGGUAAUGGCUCACCAAGGCGUCGACGGGUAGCCGGCCUGAGAGGGUGACCGGCCACACUGGGACUGAGACACGGCCCAGACUCCUACGGGAGGCAGCAGUGGGGAAUAUUGCACAAUGGGCGCAAGCCUGAUGCAGCAACGCCGCGUGAGGGAUGACGGCCUUCGGGUUGUAAACCUCUUUUAGCAGGGAAGAAGCGAAAGUGACGGUACCUGCAGAAAAAGCGCCGGCUAACUACGUGCCAGCAGCCGCGGUAAUACGUAGGGCGCAAGCGUUAUCCGGAAUUAUUGGGCGUAAAGAGCUCGUAGGCGGUUUGUCGCGUCUGCUGUGAAAUCCCGAGGCUCAACCUCGGGUCUGCAGUGGGUACGGGCAGACUAGAGUGCGGUAGGGGAGAUUGGAAUUCCUGGUGUAGCGGUGGAAUGCGCAGAUAUCAGGAGGAACACCGAUGGCGAAGGCAGAUCUCUGGGCCGUAACUGACGCUGAGGAGCGAAAGGGUGGGGAGCAAACAGGCUUAGAUACCCUGGUAGUCCACCCCGUAAACGUUGGGAACUAGUUGUGGGGUCCAUUCCACGGAUUCCGUGACGCAGCUAACGCAUUAAGUUCCCCGCCUGGGGAGUACGGCCGCAAGGCUAAAACUCAAAGGAAUUGACGGGGACCCGCACAAGCGGCGGAGCAUGCGGAUUAAUUCGAUGCAACGCGAAGAACCUUACCAAGGCUUGACAUAUACGAGAACGCUGCAGAAAUGUAGAACUCUUUGGACACUCGUAAACAGGUGGUGCAUGGUUGUCGUCAGCUCGUGUCGUGAGAUGUUGGGUUAAGUCCCGCAACGAGCGCAACCCUCGUUCUAUGUUGCCAGCACGUAAUGGUGGGAACUCAUGGGAUACUGCCGGGGUCAACUCGGAGGAAGGUGGGGAUGACGUCAAAUCAUCAUGCCCCUUAUGUCUUGGGCUUCACGCAUGCUACAAUGGCCGGUACAAAGGGCUGCAAUACCGUAAGGUGGAGCGAAUCCCAAAAAGCCGGUCCCAGUUCGGAUUGAGGUCUGCAACUCGACCUCAUGAAGUCGGAGUCGCUAGUAAUCGCAGAUCAGCAACGCUGCGGUGAAUACGUUCCCGGGUCUUGUACACACCGCCCGUCAAGUCAUGAAAGUCGGUAACACCUGAAGCCGGUGGCCCAACCCU